rnacentral:rRNA from 1 species
GAGUUUGAUCCUGGCUCAGAACGAACGCUGGCGGCAGGCCUAAUACAUGCAAGUCGAGCGCCCGGGCAACCGGGAGCGGCGGACGGGUGAGUAACACGUGGGAACAUGCCCUUCGGUACGGAACAACUCAGGGAAACUUGAGCUAAUACCGUAUUCGCCGGCAACGGGAAAGAUUUAUCGCCGAAGGAUUGGCCCGCGUCCGAUUAGCUAGUUGGUGAGGUAACGGCCCACCAAGGCACCGAUCGGUAGCUGGUUUGAGAGAACGACCAGCCACACUGGGACUGAGACACGGCCCAGACUCCUACGGGAGGCAGCAGUAGGGAAUCUUGGACAAUGGGGGAAACCCUGAUCCAGCCAUGCCGCGUGAGUGAUGAAGGCCUUCGGGUUGUAAAACUCUUUCGACGGGGACGAUAAUGACGGUACCCGUAGAAGAAGCUCCGGCUAACUUCGUGCCAGCAGCCGCGGUAAUACGAAGGGGGCUAGCGUUGUUCGGAAUUACUGGGCGUAAAGCGCGCGCAGGCGGCCUUUCAAGUCAGGGGUGAAAGCCCGGAGCUCAGCUCCGGAAUUGCCUUUGAAACUGUCAGGCUCGAGUACGGGAGAGGUGAGUGGAAUUCCCAGUGUAGAGGUGAAAUUCGUAGAUAUUGGGAAGAACACCGGUGGCGAAGGCGGCCCACUGGCCCGUUUCUGACGCUCAGGCGCGACAGCGUGGGGAUCAAACAGGAUUAGAUACCCUGGUAGUCCACGCCGUAAACUAUGAACGCUAGCCGUUGGCAGGCUUGCCUGUCAGUGGCGCAGCUAACGCAUUAAGCGUUCCGCCUGGGGAGUACGGCCGCAAGGCUGAAACUCAAAGGAAUUGACGGGGGCCCGCACAAGCGGUGGAGCAUGUGGUUCAAUUCGAAGCAACGCGAAGAACCUUACCUGGGUUCGAAAUGCAGUUGUAAGCCUCAGAGAUGAGGUCCCCUCUUCGGAGGCAGCUGUAUAGGUGCUGCAUGGCUGUCGUCAGCUCGUGUCGUGAGAUGUUGGGUUAAGUCCCGCAACGAGCGCAACCCUUGUCCAUAGUUGCUAACGCGUAGUGGCGAGAACUCUAUGGAGACUGCCGGUGAUAAACCGGAGGAAGGUGGGGAUGACGUCAAGUCCUCAUGGCCUUUAUGUCCAGGGCUACACACGUGCUACAAUGGACGGUACAAAGAGUCGCGAUCCCGCGAGGGGGAGCUAAUCUCAAAAAGCCGUUCUCAGUUCGGAUUGUUCUCUGCAACUCGAGAGCAUGAAGCUGGAAUCGCUAGUAAUCGCGGAUCAGAACGCCGCGGUGAAUACGUUCCCGGGCCUUGCACACAC